GUUAAACAACACACGUGGGUUAUGGUGAUUUACCUCCACCAAGUUUGCCAGGUAUUGUAUUUUGCUCUGUUUAACAGUUUUCUGGUAGGUGAUCAAGGAGUCCUUAAGUAUUUGGAAAGAAACCUGCAGCUUGUCCUUCUUCCACCUUCGCUCAGCUUUGCGGCACUCUCGUCUAGCUGCGCGAGUUUCUUCAUUGAACCAGGGCUCCGAUUUAGCCUUUGGCCGAACAGUUUUUAAAGGAGCCACAGAGUCCAGAAUAUUUUCACAGAAGGAAUGAAACCAGGAGCUGAGCACCUCUGUGUUCGCAGAGGUAGGGCAGACACAGAGGUGUUCAAAAGCCACAGAGAAGCGACCGGCAGUGGAGGGGUUAAUAAUCCGGCGUCUCUGCGCAGGAGCGCCAGAUUUAACCUCAGAGCAAGAAAGGUACACUUCAAACAAUACAGGCCUGUGAUCAGAAAAUACAUCAUCACAUAUCACCAGGUUAGACACAUGUAAACCAUGACACAGUACGAGGUCCAGUAAAUGCCCGUGCUCGUGUGUGGCACCCGACACACACUGCACCAAAUUAAAAGAGUCAAUAAGACUUACAAAGUCCUUCACCAACGGCUUUUCUGGACAACACAGGUGAAUAUUAAAAUCCCCAAGAAUAAGGACACGAUCAUAGUUCGGCAUAAUUUCAGCCAGUAGACCAGAGAAGUCAUUUAAAAACUCCUUAUUGUAUUUGGGGGGGCGAUAAAUGACCGCGCACAGCACCGGGUCAGACCGACCCACCUCAAAUAAAGUCACCUCAAAGCUUGAAAAAGAGGAUGAUACUGUGCGCUGCUUGCAUUUAAAACCAUUCUUAUAUAUCGUUGCUAUUCCUCCACCACGACCCGACGUCCGCGGGGAGUUAAAGUAAGAGCAGUCGGGAGGUAAAAGUUCGGCUAGAGCGUUGGACUCACCCGCACCGAUCCAAGUCUCUGUCACACAGAGGAAAUCCAGGGCACGAGAGCUG